rnacentral:rRNA from 1 species
GACGAACGCUGGCGGCGUGCCUAAUACAUGCAAGUCGAGCGGACUUUCAAGAAGCUUGCUUUUUGAAAGUUAGCGGCGGACGGGUGAGUAACACGUGGGCAACCUGCCUGCAAGACGGGGAUAACUCCGGGAAACCGGGGCUAAUAACGGAUAAUAUCUUCCUUCGCAUGAAGGAAGGUUGAAAGGCGGCGCAAGCUGCCGCUUGCAGAUGGGCCCGCGGCGCAUUAGCUAGUUGGUGAGGUAACGGCUCACCAAGGCGACGAUGCGUAGCCGGCCUGGGAAGGUUGACCGCCCCACCUGGACUUGCACCCCGGCCAAGCCUCUUACGGAAGCAACCAUAAGGAAACUUCCGCCAUUGGCCGAAAUCCUGCCGAACAACGCCGCCUUGAGCAAAGAAGGCCUUCGGUCCGUAAAGUCUUUUUUUAAGGAAAGACAAGGACCCGUCCAACAAGGCCGUUACCUUGCCGGACCUUACCAAAAAAGCACCGCCAACCUCCUG